GAAAAAGGAAUGGUCUGGCCCACCAACACUAUCAGCCUUUGGGCUCACAAGAAGCCCAUUUUUAUGAAGGCAGAAAAAUGUCUGUGAGUCAAGAUUUAUUGUGAUAUGAAUGACCCCAGAGCUAUGAAAAGGAAUAGGGAAAUGAUGCCUGCUGGUGACCUUACAUGACUGGAGUACAACUGGGAAGCUGGAUUGAAAUACUGCCAAUUCUAAAAUCCUUCAGUACUAUGUGGCCAACACAGUCUACUUCUUCCAUCGGUCAGUAGGUGUUGGGCAUGAACUAGAGUACGAAGUGACAACUUCAUUCAGAUGUUCUCUGUUAAUGGUACACUGAAGAUUUUAGCCACAGAAGGAAAUACAGAUCUGUACUGAAAAACUGGUUUAUCACACCAGCUGUCACUCCUCUUUCUCCUUUGUCUUCAAUGGAGAAACACCUGAAUAAAGCAGAACACCCUUCCCAGGGCAUCUCAAUGACAACAUUUAACCCUCAUGGAUAAACAGUACUCUGUUAAUAUGCUUCUGGACUUCAAAUAGCUUUUUAAAGCAUCCAUAUUUCUGCUGUGAUCCUACAUCAGUAGUACAGAGUGACAAGAACUUUUCCAAGGGGCUUAUUCCAAAGGAUGAUGACUGCAGGAGUUCUCACCUGCAUGACCUUCUGAACUCCAGUCAGUCCCAGCGCACCACCCAAAACACAAAGCCAGCACUUCCAGAAUCAUCUGCGUGAGGUGGAUCAAAUGAAAGCUGCUCUUCCAAGGAAGAAGCCGGGGAGGCAGAAGCUCUUUUUAUGUCCUCUACAAAGACUCAAGAGGCAAGCAAGAAGUACUCUGACCUGCUGCUUCCCUUCCUUGCCUCUGCCACCAGGCAGCUGCCCUACACUGGCCUACUCCAGCACAGGGGAACGUGCUGUGGACGUUCUCCAACUUCCCUAUAGAAAAUUCAUGGGGAGCAGGAUCAAUGCUCAAGUUGACUGCCUCUGAACUCAGGGGAGUACUGAGUGUAUAAAUGAGCAUGCCAAAAAAUACUAUUCUGUUGAAUAUUUAAGUGCUGCAAGUGUACAGAGCUUCUACAGGUCUCACACACAAAAAACCCAAAACAGUUGUUCCACCACCCUGCUCCUGCCAAUAAAGUUAGCUAGUCUUCUAACUAACCCAUCCAUAUCUGAAAAUAUAAUGGCACUAUCUAUCUAUACAUCCAUCUCUAUUUCCACAUAUGUACAAACAGAGCUUAAAGCUACAAUCACUCAGUUGUUUCAGAAUGUCGAUUAUAGGAUGCAAUAAAGGAGUAAAAAUACAUCCCUGACUUGCACAAGAUAUGAUCAAACAUGUGAAAAGGUUUUCCAGCUAUGACUCACUAAGAAAUGGGUGGAGGUUUGUAAGGCUGCUGGCUGGAAGGAGUAAGCCCUCUUCCACACUGGCCAGCAAGGACUGGGAAUUGGCUGCUAUUCUGUCAAAAGGCCAGGUAUAUCCUGGUUGUUUUCCUGCUAUCCUACUG